AGAAUGAAACUGAAGUCCCUGAUACAUGCUGCUUCCAGACGAGACAAUGUUGUUUGUCCAGUCCAUAGAACCGCUGUUCGCAGGAUGGCAUUCCUCUUCUGCUAUUGGCUUAGAGACACAGCUGUUAACCCUCAUCCCUUUAUGUUCCUCGCAUCUUUUCCUUCCUGGCACUGCUUGCCUCCUGCAGAAAAUCCCAUCACCUAAAUUUACCCCACAUGUAGUAGCAUGGUCAUGGUCAUAGUGAGUGCUAGGAUCCAGAUGCACACCAGGCAAAUAAUUUGAAUUCCCUUCUGAAAUUGGCUUAGAACUAGAUCCAUAAAUUCUCAUUCCUUUGUGUCCUUCACAUCUCUUUCUCCCUGGAACAGGUGGCCUUCUACAAGGGAUACUGUCAUUCAUGAUGAAUCCACAUAUGUGAAUGAAGUCCUGAUCAAUGCCACAUUUGUCUGAAAC
rnacentral:misc_RNA from 1 species